rfam:Exophiala spinifera strain CBS 89968 unplaced genomic scaffold supercont1.6, whole genome shotgun sequence.
GCCUCUAUAGCCCAGUUGGUAGAGCGCAGCACUAGUAUCCUUACUACGUGAUGCUGAGGUCUUCAGUUCGACUCUGAAUGGAGGCA